AGGAAAUGCAGGGCAGUGUGGGGAUUGCUUUGCUCAUUUUAAUCGCCCCAGCAUCAAGCACCGAAGGGAGCACAUUGUGGGCUUCUGUGAAACACUUGCUAACGGAAAGAAUCAUGAAAGAAUGAAGAGUAGAUGAAUCCUAAUGUCACAGAGCCUAAGGUCAUGUCAGGAAACCCCUUCUCCAACCCUGCUUCCUUUCCUAUCAGACAAUGGUUGAACUUCCAAAUCUUAAUUUCAACUGUUUAUCAGCUGGGCUUCUGAAACCUGUUUAAUGUCUCCUGUGAUGCAGUUUCGUCCUGUUCCUGAUUGCUUGAGCUCCAGCUAUAGGAGGUACCAUCAUCAUUUCAGAGACAUCAGUACAAUAAGCCCAAUGGGAGAAUGAUGUGGCAAUUUCUAAAUUUCCUAGAAGGAUUGUUCAGGAGGAUGGGCUUGAGCAGACUGCCUUCCAAGUCACACCACCACUGGGCACAUUUUGUUUUUUGGCAACUGCCCCAACAGGUGUUAUCAUAUGCUGUUUGCUCCGUGGGAAAAGAAGAGAAGGAGACAGAGUGAAAGGGAGGCUGAGAACUGUGGAAGUUAACCGGUUCACAUCAGGUAUGAUAAGUGCUUCUGCUGACACUAAAUAACCUUCCACCAAUAAUAUUUUUCUAUGUCUCUAUGUUAAUUCCUUCAGUUACUGACUGGGGCCUCACGUAAGUAUAUUGAUUUCAUUAUUUGAAUAAUAUAAUUUUGCUGCCUUAUCAGUGAGGCAGGAGAUAAAAUCCAGGAAAUUCUCAGCACUGUAUCAGCCUAGGCAAGCACACUGAUGGCUUUUAAUAAGCACUUACAAAUGACUGGAGCCUUAUACUUUCAGGGGGAUAUUUUUGAGUAAGUUGCCACUCCCCCACAAUAGUCCUCUUCCUCAGUCUGCUUGGCAUCAUAAAGACAGAAUCAUGAUCUUCACACAUCAUUCCCCUUCUGAAUUGCCAUACCUUUGCAAAUAGAAGUUCAAGGCCUCAGGGAAGAAAAAAAUAUACAUUAUUUAGGAAAGGAGUUGGUAUUGGCAAAGAAAACAAAAUGAUAAAAAUUAAAACCCAAAGAUGGGUAUGCUUAGAACUUUAAUGCCUAAACCCAAAUUAUUUGUUGAGCUGAAACAGCAGAUUUUUAUGAAUAAAUUAUAAAUUUCAAUUUGGAUAUGUUGAAUUUAAAAGAACUAAAGGACUUUGAUAUGAUUUGGAUUUUUAUCCCCACCCAAAUCUCACAUCAAAUUGUAGGAGGGACCCUAUUAGAAGUGAUUGGAUCAUAGGGACAGAUUUUCCCCUUGCUGUUCUUCUAACAGUGAGUUCUCAUGAGAUCUGAUGGUUUAAAAGUGUGUGACACUUCCACCAUAACUCUCUCUCUCUUCUGAUCCACCAUGGGAAGAUACACCUUGUUUCCCCUUCGCCUUCUGCCAUGAUUGUAAGUUUCCUGAGGCCUCACCAGCCAUGUGGAACUAUGAGUCAGUUAAACCUCUUUCUUCAUAAACUACCCAGUCUCAGGUAGUUCUUUAUAGCAAUGUGAGAACAAACUAAUACAGAAAAUUGGAACAAGGAGCGGAUUAUUGCUAUAAAGAUACCCAAGUAUGUGGAAGCAACUUUGGAACUGGGUAAUGAGCAGAGGUUAGAAUACUUUGGCAGGCUCAGAAGAAGACAGGAAGGCGAGGAACGUUUGGAAAUUCCUAGAGACUUGUUGAUUGUUUUUCACCAAAAUGCUGAUAGUGAUAUGGAGAAUGAUGUCUAGGUUGAGGUGGUCUCAGAUGGAGAUGAGGUAUUUAUUGGAAUCUGAAGCAAAGGUCAUUCUUGCUAUGGUUUAGCAAAGAGACUGGCAGCAUUGUGCCCCUGCUCUAGUGAUCUGUGGAACUUUGAACUUGAGAGAGAUAAUUUAGGGUAUCAGGCACAAGAAAUUUCUAGGCAGCAAAGCAUUCAAUGUGUGGCCUGACUAUUUCUAAAAGUGUACUGUUAUACAUGUGGACAAAGAGAUGGUCUAAAAUUGGAACUUAUAUUUAACAGGUAAACAGCAUAAAAGUUUGGAAAAUUUUCAGCCUGAUGAUACAGUAGAGAAGAAAAACCCAUUUUCUGGGAAGAAAUUCAAGACAGCUGCAGAAAUCUGCAUAAGUAAAGAGGAGCCCAAUGUUAAUAAUGAAUACAAUGAGAAAAAUGUCUCUAGGGCAUUUCAGAGACCUUCACAGAAGCCCCUCUCAUCAUAGGCCUGAAGGCCUAGGAGGAAAAAAUGGUUUCAUGGGCCAGGCCCAGGACCCAGCUGCUCUGUGCAGCCUUGGAACAUGGCACCCAGUGUUCUAGCCACUCCAGCCAUGGCUAAUGGUAUAGCUUAGUCCAUGGCUUCAGAAGGUGCAAGCCCCAAACCUUGGCAGCUUCCAUGUGGUGUUGGGCCUGUGGGUACAUAGAGGCAUGAGUUGAGGUUUGGAAACCUCAGCCUAGAUUUCAGAGAAUGUAUGGAAAUACCUGGAUGUCCAGGCAGAAGUCAGCUGCAGGGGUGGAGCCCUCAUGGAGAACCUCUACUA
ensembl:lncRNA